rnacentral:lncRNA from 1 species
ACAGCUCAUGACUGAUGACAGUUUAUAAUUGUAAGUCCUUACAAUAUCUAGGUUCCUUUGACUAUUUUGAGGGGGACCACUGCUGGAUGAAGUACAUCAAAGGAUCAAUUGAUGGACAUAGCAGGCGGUUUGUCAUGCACUCAGUUUUCUCGCCAGAUUGCUAAAAUGCAUUCAUGACACUGCAUCACUAUUAGAUUGUUUCAUCAUGUUCCUAAUGUUGACUAAGCUUUUAGAGGUUUGAGGCCAUUAAUGGCAACCGUAAUGAAGUAUUUGUAUUGACAACUGCAGUUGUGGAAACUCACACAUGAAUCAAUAGAGUAGUAUCUAACAUUAUCUCCAUAUCGAACCACAAUGAUGUCCAACUGAUGAUGGGAUUGAGGAAACAAGCAGCACAUAGGAUUAUUGUGUAUUUACCUAGCUCGCGGCACCAGACAGGAGAUAAGACCCGAGAAAUCGUCCAAAGAGCGAGCCUCCGAUCAAGAGAGUUACUAAUCUCCAGGAGCGAUCCUCAACCAGUCGGAACAGAGAGAAUCUUCGAUCCUGAUGAAGCUAGAUCCGGGUGAGAGCGAUCGAGUGUCUGUAAGAAAAAGAGAAUUAGAGCAGGAAAGAGAAUUCCCGAGCGAAAGAGUCAGCUUGAGUCCCAGAGAGUGUGUGAGAUCUGGAGAACGUCCUCGAGAGAGAGAAACCGUUCGGCCGUUUUUCCUCCGAGAGAGAAUCUGAGCCGAGAGCAUUCGUCUGUUCCGUCACAGUCGUGGCUGCACUGACCGAUAUAGGAAAUUUAGCUGCGGCUAUCACCGAUUGGGAAUGGGAAUACGCCGAGCGCGAAGAUGAUCAGCAUAACUAGGCCAACGACCGCUUCAAGCUCUUCAUCUUCGAAGCCAGAAACAUCACCGGCGAUUUCUUCUCAUUCUCCAUCUUCUUCGACUCUAUCUAUCCAGAAGCACAAACCUCCGAGCGGCAGAACUCCCGAUGGAAGAAAUGAAAACCGAUCGCGAGUGGAGAUCAACUUCGGAUCUCAGUACCAGAGGCAACAGGCCAAAGCAAUGGUGGAGACGAAGGAUGCGACGGUUGGUGACCGGAUUGCGGUAGCGGCGGCGCACGAAUCGAAUCUUCGCCGCGAUGGGAAGAACUUGAAGAUUUGGGAUCCGAGUCGAGUGCAGAGAAAGAGAGAAAGCUUCACGAUGGAGGAUCCUCGAUCUAGGGUUUUUUUUUUUUUUUUUGGUGUGGUGACCCCCAAAGAAAAAUCCCCGAUCAAAAGAGAGAAAACCCCCCCUUUUUAGCUCCGUGGGAGAGAGAGAUCCUGAUGAAGAGAGUGCGGGAGCCCCCCCUCCCCCCCGCGAGAGAGAAUUCCCCGUGCGAGCUAAAACCCCCCUUUUUCUUUUUGUUUUCUUCUUUUUUUUCUUUCUUUCUUUUCUCUCCUUUUUCUUUAUUUCUCCCUUUUUUUUCUUUUUCUUUUUGAUUCCUUUACUUCUUUUUUCUUUCUCUCUAUAUUAUUUUUUUUUCUUUUCAUUUUCAUUUUUUUAUUUUUUUUAUUUUUUUAUAUGUUUUCAAAUUGAAUGUUUAAAACGUCAACAAAAAAUUCCGGGUGUCAACAGCUGCCCCUCUUGGGUGGGAGCUCGAAGAGGUUCCACUCAAAGACAAAAUUGAUACCUGAAAUUUUUAGUCGACUCGGCUUUGAAAAAUAGAAAACGACAAAAGCAAUGAUGGUUGGUUAGGACGUACCUGAUACUUACCUUUGCUCAUCAAGGUAUCUGAACUCUUGUUGGGGUUUAUUCACUCUAUCUCUGUUUCUCUUUCUCGUGGAAUGGAAUGAAGACAAUAAAAUCACUAAAUGAAAAAUGAAUGGUUUAAGGACAACCUACGAACCGUAUGGUUUAGACUGGGAGAAAGGUCUCACCGUGUAAAAACGGGUUUUGACUGGAUGAAAUGUCUCACCGUGUAAAAACGGGUUUCGACUGGGAGAAAUGUCUCACCGUGUAAAAAUGGGUUUUGACUGGAUGAAAUGUCUCACCGUAUACGAACGGGUUUCGAUCGGGUGUGAUAGUCUCACCAUAUACAAAUGGGUUUUGACUGAGAGGAAGGUCUCACCAUAUACAAAUGGGUUUCGACCAAGUAUGAUAGUCUCACCAUAUACAAACGGGUUUCGACUGAGAGGAAUGUCUCACUGUAUAUGAACGGGUUUCGACCGGGUAUGAUAGUCUCACCGUAUACAAACGGGUUUCGACUGAGAGGAAGGUCUCACCAUAUACAAAUGGGUUUCGACCAGGUAUGAUAGUCUCACCGUAUACAAACGGGUUUCGACUGAGAGGAAGGUCUCACCAUAUACAAAUGGGUUUCGACCGGGUAUGAUAAUCUCACCGUAUACAAACGGGUUUCGACUGAAAGGAAGGUCUUUUCGACCAGUUAUUAGUUUCAAAAUUUCUAGAGAACCAAUCUUGCAAAAUAACAUUGAUUGUCAAAUCCUUUUAGAGAAGAUUUUAACAAAAUGGGAUCUGAUUAACCAUCUAAGGGUUAAAUCAAAUAUGCCAAGUGGAAACAUCCUAAUCAAAAGAGGUCUUUCACACUAGCUCUCAAAAAUGGCUUUUGUUCCCAACCAUUGAUAUGGGAAAACUGUUUAAAUCUCACUAGAGAAAUCUCACUCAACCUAUGUCUAAGGUUUUCGGAAACGUUCACAGUGAAUACAACCAAUUGAUCAAAAGGUCUUUUAAAGGGACCGUAAUGAUGGCUUGGUCAUGGGCUUACACAAAGGGUAUGCACUUUGAGGCCAAGAAAUGAAUAUUCAAUCAAUAUCUUCAUCAGGUUUACAAGUCAAGAACCUUGAAGAUAAGAUAAGAUAGGAUUGCUUCCACUCCUUCUAGUGGUAGCUCCUAUGUGAUAUUCUCAUUUCAACUCAAACCAUCCUAAUCAGAAGAGACUUCGGAUAAGGGUUGUAAUGUUGGUUUGGGUGAGGCUUAGAAAGGCUUGAAAAACUUUCAGAUAUCAAAGGGUUAAAAAGUGAGUGAUUAUCUUGGCAUCAUUACCAUCACACGACUUCUCAAAAAUUCGACUCUUGAAAUUUAACCUAUCUCGAGAGUCCUUUUGGUAAUUUGUCUUGAGACAUGAGAGCUUCGCUCUUUGUUCUAAUGACAUUGCUUGCAAUAUAGGUUUUCUUUUGUAAUGCAUUUCUUUUGUUUUUCAAUGAAUGAUCUUUUGCAUGAUCAUGGAUUUCGCUCUUUUUUGCAUUCUUGCUUUUCUUUGCAUUUUUUUUCAUGGGCAUCAGCCUUGCUUUUACCAAGCACACUGCUUUUUCAUGCCCCCUAGUUUUCAUCCUCUUUUGGGUAUCUAGGACUCUUGAGUGGCAUUUACAAACAUUACCAAUAUCCUCAAUUUUGUUGGUAAAUCAGGUGCCUUGCCCCAGUGUGGGGAGAUAAUCAUCACCUGGGGUUAUGAAAGAAUUGCAUAAGGCUCAAAUUGGCUAAGCAAUGGAUAAUUGUGUUUGUGGUAGUGAACGGAAUGCUCUUCGUCACUUUGGGAUGCUUCGAGUUUUGAUAAGAAAUCACCUGAAGUUAGCACAAGAAGAUUGAUACAAGUGAAAGCAAUAAAAUCUUUCUUAAUCUUUUGCUCCAUAAUUUUCAACCAAGACCCCCUAUUUUGCUCCAAUGUGGGGUUGUUCUUGACAGGGUUAUUUUGGAAUGCUCCCUAUUUGGCUUAGAGUGGCUUGCAAGGGAUAUCAAUAGUGUUUGGGAUUGAGAAAUGAAAUGCCUUUAUCAUCUUAAAUCAUGUAUUUACUGUGAAUGAAUCCUAUGCCCUAAGACAUGGUUCUUUCCACUCAAUUCUUUCAAAGAGUGUAUGAGGACGUGUUUGGUAAAAGGGUUGCCUCUCAUCAUUUUAGGCACUACCACCUGGCAUAUUUAACAAUCCUUUUCAGGUUUUUCAAAACCCACUUUAGUUAAAUUCAGCUCCGUGGGGAAAUGAAAAUAUAAUGAAAUUUUGUCUGAAAUGACAUGUUUCCUUGACCCUAUUGGGGAGAUUUUUUGGAAGUAAGAUUGGACAAAAUUUGUAAACAGAACAGGCUUUACUUAGCACAUGGGUUCAUUUCUAGAGUUCUAACUGUACUUCUAGAAUUCUAACCGACUCUUUGUAUUUCUAACUCUUUUGGCAUUCUAANNNNNNNNNNNNNNNNNNNNNNNNNNNNNNNNNNNNNNNNNNNNNNNNNNNNNNNNNNNNNNNNNNNNNNNNNNNNNNNNNNNNNNNNNNNNNNNNNNNNNNNNNNNNNNNNNNNNNNNNNNNNNNNNNNNNNNNNNNNNNNNNNNNNNNNNNNNNNNNNNNNNNNNNNNNUGGCUCAGAUUCAAUCCAAAAAUGGCUCAAAGGCCUUUCACUUUAUUCAUGGAUAAUACUUCUUGACAGAAUCAGCAUUUACAGGUCUUGGCAAUUCAUGACCAUCCAUUUCUACAAGGAUUAGUGCCCCACCGGGUAGCACUUUCUUUACAAUAUAUGGACCUUCAUAGUUUGGAGUAAACUUCCCACGAUGAUCUAGAAUGAUAGGUAAAACCUUCCUCAAGACAAGAUCGUUGAUCUCAAAAUGUCUUGGUCUAACUUUGCGAUUAAAUGACCUAGCUACUCUCUUCUGAUAGCUUUGUCCAUGGCAUAAGGCUUUUACCCUCUUUUCAUCAAUCAUAUUAAGUUGUUCAAAUCUUUGUUGAACCCAUUCAGCUUCAGAGAGCUUGAUUUGAGAAAGUACCCUUAGUGAAGGAAUUUCCACUUCCACGGGUAAUACAGCUUCCAUCCCAUAAACCAAUGAGAAUGGUGUUGCCCCAGUUGAAGUACGAAUUGAAGUUCAAUAAGCAAACAAAGCAUAUGGCAACCAAUCAUGCCAAUCACGAUAAUUUUCUGCCGUUUUAGCCAAAAUCUUCUUGAUGUUCUUAUUUGCCGCUUCCACAGCUCCAUUCAUUUGUGGGCAGUAAGGAGAAGAAUUCAAAUGGCGAAUGUGGAAUUCUCCAAGUAAAUCAUCCACCACUUUAUUGUUCAAGUUUGAUCCAUUAUCUGUGAUGAUCGCUUCAGGAACUCCAUAUCGGGCGAUGAUAUCUCGACAGAUGAAUUUUGCCACACUCUUUGUAGUAACAUGGGCAUAAGAAUUGGCUUCAAUCCAUUUGGUGAAGUAAUCAAUUGCUACUAAGAUAAAACGAUGUCCAUUUGAUGCUUUAGGAUUAAUUAGUCCGAUGAUGUCAAUGCCCCACAUUGAAAAAGGCCAGGACUCAGACAUUUGAUGUAACUCAUUAGGAGGAGCAUUGAUUUUGUCUCCAUAGACUUGGCAUUGAUGACAACACAUCACAUGCUGAAUACAAUCGGCUUCCACAGUCAACCAAUAAUAACCGAGCCUCAUAAUUUUUCUAGCCAAGAGAUGGCCAUUCAUAUGUGGACCACACUCUCCUUCAUGUAUUUCUUUCAUUAGGAGUUUAGCUUCUUGUGCGUCCACGCAUUUCAGUAAAACUAAAUCGAAAGACCUUUUAUAGAGAGCUCCUCCACUGAGGAAGAAUUUGGAUGCCAACUUCAUCAAGUAUUUUCGAUCAUUAACUUGACUCCCUUGGGGGAAUUUGCCUUUUCGAAGGUAAUUCAUGAUGUCAUAGUACCAGGGUUGACCAUCAGGUUCUUCUUCUAUCAACAGGCAAUAAGCAGGCUUUUUCAAAACGUUGAUUUGCAAAGGAUCAACGCUCAAACCAUCAGCUACUUGCAACAUCGAAGAUAAAGUUGCCAAGGCAUCGGCAAACUGAUUUUGUGAUCUCGACAGAUAAUCAAAAGAGAUCUCGUCAAAUUCUUUGACUAAGUCUUCGAGAUAUUCGUGGUAAGGGAUUAAUUUUACAUCCCGUGUUUGCCAUUCACCUUCCGUCUGGUGGAUGAUGAGUGCAGAAUCACCAUAAACUUGAAGCUUUCUGAAUUUCAUAUCGAUGGCUAAUUGCAAGCCAAGGAUGCAUGCUUCAUAUUCAGAAAUAUUGUUGGUACAAGGGAAUACCAAUUUGCAGCUACUGGAUAAUGUUGAUCUUCCGAGGAUAUUAAAACUGCCCCAGUGCCAGAACUAGAAAGGUUAACUACACCGUCAAAAUACAUGGUCCACUUGUCAGGCGAAACCAAAUAAAUCCGUUCAUCGAUUUCAUCCCAAUCAUUAGAUUUCUCGGGAUUUUCGGCUAACAUAUCAGCUAUGGCUCGCCCUUUGAUGGACUUUUGUGCCAUGCUUUGAAUAUCAAACUCAGAGAGUAAUAUUUGCCAUUUGGCGAGCCUUCCAACCAAUGCAGGCUUUUCCAAAAGAUAUUUGAUUGGGUCAUUCUCAGUCACCAAAAGGAUGCGGUGAUGCAAAGUAUAUUGUCUCAGUCAGUGUAAAACUCAAAUCAAGGCUACACAGGUCUUUUCCACCUUAAGAUAUCGAAUCUCGGAAGUAGUAAACUUCUUACUGAGGUAAUAUAUGGCACGUUCUAUUCCAUCCCUUGGUCCUUUUUGUGCUAACAUGGCUCCUAAAGACUCCUCAUGAAUGGUGAGAUAUAGGAUCAGAGGCGCGCCUUGGAUAGGUGGUACAAGUACAGGAGAUUGCGAAAGAUAUUGCUUCAGUUCUUCAAAUGAUUUCUGACAUUCUUCAUCCCAGUUGACCUUAGCGUUCUUCUUUAAUAACUUGAAGAAUGGCUUAGCAGCUUCUGACAAUUGAGAGAUAAAUCUUGCAACAUAAUUCAAUCUUCCUAAUAAACUUCGGACUUCUUUAACAGUAGAAGGAGGUUUCAAAUCGCAUAUGGCCUUCACCUUAGAGGGAUCUAUCUUGAUACCCUUGUUACUAACCAUAAAUCCAAGAAGCUUUCCAGACUUUGCCCCAAAUAUGCAUUUUGCGGGGUUAAGCCUCAGCUUAAAUUUCCUCAAACGGUCAAAUAAUCUUCUUAAGAUUUCAACAUGAUCUUCAUCUUCUCUUGACUUUGCAAUCAUGUCAUCAACAUAAACUUCAAUCUCCUUAUGCAUCAUGUCAUGGAAUAGUGUCACCAUGGCUCUUUGAUAUGUUGCCCCUGCAUUCUUUAAGCCAAAGGACAUAACUUUGUAGCAAAAUGUUCCCCAUGGGGUGAUGAAUGAAGUUUUAGUCUUAUCAUCCUCUUUCAUCCGGAUUUGGUUAUAACCAGAAAAUCCAUCCAUGAAGGAGAACAAUUCAAAUCCGGCAAUACUGUCAACUAAAAGAUCAAUGUGCGGCAAAGGAAAAUCGUCCUUAGGGCUUGCCUUAUUCAGAUCACGGUAAUCAACACAUACUCGGACUCGUCUAUCCUUUUUCAUAACCGGGACUAUAUUAGCAAUCCAAUCCGCAUACUGGGUGACUUCAAUGAAACCAACAUUUAAGAGCUUCAUGACUUCCUCUUCAAUCUUUUUCGACAAUUCAGGUUUCGUCCUUCUAAGCUUUUGCUUCUUCGGUAGAAUAUUAGGAUCAAGUGGUAACGCAUGUUCCACAAUCUCAAGAUCUAAACCUGGCAUAUUGACAUACGACCAAGCAAAAAUAUCUCGAUAUUCUUUCAAAAGCCCAAUUAGUCUAUUGGCAUCUGCUUGAGAGAGACCCGCCCCAAUCUUGGUUUCUUUAGGGUUGUCUGAAUCUCCCAAAUUUACAGUGACUGGUUGUUCGGUGGUAGGAGGUUUGGACUCUUCAUGUAUGAGCCACUCUUUUUCAAUACCUCGAUGAUCAUCCUCAUUCUCUGAAUCGGAAUAAUGGGGUUCGUCAAAAUCUUUUGAAUGCGAAUCCGAGCCAUGUGAAUGACUAUCGUGAUGUGAAAUGUCAUGCCUGAGAUGUAAUUGAAAAAAAAUGGUUAGUAUAUGUACACCUAAAUGAAUAUAAUGUAUGUAAAUGUCAUGAAAAAUUUGUUUUCAAGUUCAAGUUUUAUUGGGAACUAGCCCUCAUGUCAUUGGACGUCUUCGUUCCACCAAAACAUUUUGAAACUAUAGAUCGUGUGGAGGCUCAGGCCUCAAAGCAUCAUCAUAGGACUAAUUUGGGCCUCACACGUCUAUUAACAAAACAUGAAUUUUAUUGAUAUGCAAAAAUUGCAUUACAACGUAUAUCAUCUUGGAUCUAGAAAGUUUAUGAUCUAGAUUAUUACAAACACAAACGAAUAAAAUGAAUAGAAUUUCCUCGCAGGGGAGAAAUGAAUGAAAUUCCCUCAUAGGGGAGAAAUGAAUGGAAUACAACUAAAAAUUAAGUACAAGAACUAGAAACAUCCCUUACACAGUGGGAAUUGUAUGCUCUUCAUCUUCACUAAUAGUGCCAACUAGACCAUCUUCAAACAAAUCAGCAAAGUGAUAGACAUUGGCCUCUUCUUCUUGCAAGAGCUUAGGCGGACCAGGAAAGAAAUCUUUCAAAGGUAGAGGCAAGAGACGUUGGUAGCUUUUACCCUUGAUGUUUGGGCCUUUGCGAUUACCUUGACCCUUACGAUCGCCUUGAUAACCCAGGCCUUCACGCUUGUUGAUUUUGACCACUUUAAUAGGAUCUGGCAUGCCUUGGGCUGACUUACCCAAACCUUUCCCCAUAGCAAAACCAUUUUUGAGCAAUUCUCUACUUGCCAUCAGGGAGGCCUCUGAGAACCGAGGCUUUCUAAUAAUCGACCCAACAGGCACAUGAGUGACAGACACCAUCUCAAACAAGUGAUAGCUCGACUCUCCCUUGACCUCAGGCUCAAUGAAAGGUAUGGCCGUGUUAUGGAAAGUCUCCACAUCUCUUUCACGUCGAAUAGUCACAAUCUUUCCAUCGAUAGGAAGUUUCAUCAUCUGAUGAAGACUGGAAGGAAUAAUUCCUGCAGCAUGGAUCCAAGGCCGUCCCAGUAGCAGGCUAAAGUUGCUUGGGAUAUCCAGUACUUGAAACUUUUGAGUCAUGGUAAUAGGGCCAAUUGUCAGUGGUAAAUCGAUUUCCCUUAUUGUUUCUCUCUUCAUCCCAUCAAAGGCUCGAACAGGAAUUGUUGGAGAAGAGACAUUUUCCAUUCCUAUCCCCAAUUUAUGAAGGGUGGAUAAAGGGAAAAUGUUCAAGGAAGAGCCAUUAUCGAUCAGGACCUUCGAAAUCUUUGUCUCAAAAUGUUGAGCAGACACAUAUAACGCCUUAGUGUGUGCUUGGCCCUCAGGAGGGAGGUCUCUCUCAGAGAAAGUAAUUUGAUCUCUUAGAAGUAUUGCACCCACAAACUCCUCCAAUUGUACUUCUCCAAUAGCCUCGGGUACAUGAACUUCAUUUAAAAUUUUGAGGAGAGCAUUUCUAUGCUUUUCAGAGGUCUUGAAGAGCUCCAAUAGAGAAUCUGCGCAGGCAUCUUGCGCAAUUGAUCAAUCACUUCAGCCUCACUUGUCUUGAGUGUUUUGAGGAGUUGUUUAGCUUCCUCAUCAGUUACGGCCUUCUUUUCCUCACCUUCACGUGGUGGGUAGAUUCGACCCGAUCGGGUGACGGCGUCGAUUUCAUUUGUAUUAUAAUUCCAAGGGACCGCCCUAGUGUCAAAAGUAGGAAUCACUUUAGUGUUGGAACAUUCACCUAAUUCUGGUGGUAACUCGAUCACAACAGGACCAAAACCCGUGUUAGAGAUCUUCAUGGCUCCAAAAUUAUCAACCAAUGAGCCGACUUCGAUGACACUCUUAGCAGUUGUAUCACUCCCACAUGGGAUUUUUCCUUUAGUCAAAUCAAUUACAACAGGUUCAAUCAUAGCCAUGAAUUCAUCCUUGAAUUCCUCUCCCCAUCCACUAGGGACAAUGUCUUUAGAGUUUUGGAAAUAACUUGGAGGAGUAUACUUGACUAUAAAGUCGUAUUUCCCACUUGGUUGUCCCAAGGUGUCUACCACUUCACCCUUCUCAUGGGCUUUCCUCACAAAUUCACGGUCUGAAUGGGAAGUUUUGUAUUCAUCCUCUUCUUCGCUAUAGGAGUAGACCUCUUUAUCCUUUGGCAAAAUUGAAAUAAGGUCUUCUUCAUCAUGAAUGACGUGACCUUUCAACUGGUGAUCAUCGAAUGGCAUGCUCUGUUUCAUCUCCUGGGUAUCCAUCAAGGGUAUAUCUUCGUCAACAUCCCCAUAAAUCAUGUUGACAUUUUCAGAAUGCUUUGGAAGAUGAUUUUGUUGGACAUUCGAUGCUGAAUCCUUGAAGGUGAGCAGCUUUUUAUCCAGCAAAUUAUGGAUCUUAUAACGGAGCACAAAACAAUUAUCUACAUUAUGACCUUUUUCACCCAUAUGAUAUUCACAUAUCUUAUUAAGGUCGAAUCCGGCAAACUUUGGCGGAUUAUUCCUUGGGAUCUCUUUUGCAACAAGAUGAUUUUCGAUUAGCAUUGGAAGUAGUUGAGACAUGGGCCUAGGUAGUGGGGUAAAUUGCCUUUGAAGGGUUUUUCCUUUGUACUCAAAAUUUCUGGAAGAACCCCCUACUUCCAUGGCAGGUUUAUGAAUUUGAGGAUUAUAUGGCUUCUGAGAAGAGAAAUUUUGUACAUAGGCGAUCUCCACAGUCGAUUCUUUAUCCCUCUUCGGGGUAUAUCGACGAUUUGUGUUCUCAGACAACCUUCCUUCUCGCAUAAUCUCCUCGAUGCGUUCUCCCAACUCUACAAAUGUAGCAAAGUUCAUACAAGUAUGGUUGUACAUCUUCUCAAAAAGAUCAUGGGGCAUAGCCUGAAGCAGCAAUUUCAUCGUCUCUUUCUCAGACAAUGGCGGUUUCACUUGAGACGCAGUGACCCUCCACCUUUGAGCGUAGGCCCUAAAUGAUUCAGUUCUUCUUUUCUCAACCCAAACCAAUUCCUCUUGAGUCGGAGCAAUUUCAGUAUUGAAUUUGUAUUGCUGAAGGAAUUCAUCAACGAGAUCCUCCCAAGUACGGAUUUUCUCCAUGUCCAACUCUAUAAACCAAGUUAAAUGAAUUGAUCAGAAGUGGGGGAUUAUCUUAAUAACGAGCCAUCUUGCCUAGAUAGUACUUCAAAUGAGUCUUCGGACAUCCGAUGCCGUCGUAUUUCCUUGUGAACUCCGGCUCCUUAUAAAAUUCAGGGACCGUAAUUUUGGCAAAGGGCGAUAGUUUAUCAAACCCCUACAACUGAUAGCCUUGCAGCAUGCAAAGGCGUUCUUCGAUCUUGGCGAGGUGCCUUGCAUUUUCUUCAUCAAAGUGCGAAGUUGGUAUCUCUUUAGAUUGAGGCUCUGGACCGAUAACUAUCGGGAUUGCAGUGGGGAUCUCUUCUACAGGCCCUUUUGCCACAGGCUCUACUACAGGCACUUCAGGGGGCGCGGUAGGAAUAUUCAUGGUAGAAGAAGUAGAUGUCAAGUUUUUGAUUUGGCUAGAGAGAUCGGCCAAUAACGUCAUCAUUUGUGCCAUUUGAUUCUCCAUAUUAAUGACACGGGCUCGGGUAUCUUCAUUUUCCAUCUUUGUUUGGCGGCGAGUUCGUAUAACAAAUCUUUCUUCAGCCGUUUUUUCAAAACCUCCUGUAAAAUAAAAUGACUCGAAUUAGUACCGAUCAAAAGAAACCAUUAAAGUACAAAUCCUAGUCAAUUUUAUAUUUUCUUGAGAUGAAAUAAUGAUAAGAAGUGUAUAUGAUCCCAGUAUCAUAUAACCUCCUCUUAUCAAAAUUUCUUCAAAAGAAAUUAUACAAUUGAAAAGGAACGACGACAAAUAUUUAAUCAGAAUGCCCCUUUUCUAGAAGUUACAUGAAAAAUGUUCAUGAAUUUCAUUCAUUUCAAUCGAACAAUUACAAGGGAAAACAAAACCUUGCUUUCUUGAAGCUUACAAAGUAGUUCGACUUUACAUGCGAUGUUUACAUGGGAUAUGAAAAUGAAUACAAGUAAACCUCAAUAGAAAGGAGGGAAACACAAAUGAAAUCCCUUUACAAGAAAAGCAUAUGAAAUGAAAACCUAAGUACUAGGCGAGAUCGUGCGGAGACGCUUGUUUUCAUGGGCUAAGCAUUCCUCAUCGAUCAAGACACUGUUUUCUUGCUCCUGAAUAUGAGCUUGUUGAAGUCUUUGAGGCUCGGGAACAUCCGGCAACUGAACCUUGAGCUCGGGUUCUACUUGACAGUAUAUGUAAUCGAUGGUAGCUUGAUGGGUCUUCAUCUCUCCUUCCAAAUCAGCUUCAUCGAUGGCAACCACGUGAUGCGAGGAAUGGGAGUACCAAAUCCCAAUAGCAGCUUGAAUUGCGGCCUUGAUAUGGUCAAUUUGGUUUUCCUUGAUGACUUCAUUGUGAUAAUCAAUACGAUAUAACCCCAGCUUGAGGAUUGGCGGGAUCGUUUGAAGCGCGCGAUAUUGGCGGAGUACCCUUAAAGGGUAAUAUGACGUUAAACCGUCAGUCCCACGAGGGGAAGUGGAUUGUCAACUCCACUAAAAAGGCGCACCUCGGGAUUCCCAAGCCAUCGAGCAUGCCAUUGAAUUAAGCUAUGGUUGAGAUUUUUAAGGAAAUGGAACCACAUAGAGAAAGACCAUGAUGGAAAGGAUUCGUUUCGUUGGGAAAAUCUAAGAAUUGGAUGAUGAUGUUUUGUGACAUCAAUAAUCUUCAUGUGAGGGCAAACUCUUUGAUAUGUGAAAAGAGCCAAAUUUGGAGAAGUCCUAAUGGGGCUCUAAGAGUUCCUCAACCAUUUGCUUUAAAUCGAUUAAAAGACACAAAAGUUUCGGCAAUGAUCAUAUGUGUGAAACAAUUAAAUGCGCACACUUGGUUGACAAUGUGUGUGACUAAAGGAUCCAUUGUUUUUCGGGUAUAUGGGAAAAUCACAAAACCAAAGAAUAUGAGUAGGAAGACACGAGGAAUUUGGUUCCCAGAUUUUGGCUCAAGGCUACGGAAAUGUUUUUCGAGGAAAUUAUAAGGCAUGGCAUGAGAGUUUCCAUUAAGAAUAGCUUCAAUUUUAUCAUAAGGGAUAUUGAGGAAUUGACUUAGAAGAGAUAUUGGAUUUUGGCCAAUAGGAGGAGUAACAAAACCUAAAGAAGCUUUACCUAAUCCAAUGGCUUUUUGGAACUCCUCAAUUGUAGGGGUCAAUUCACAUUGAUUAAACACGAAAGUAGAAGUCACAGGAUUCCAAAAAUGAGCCAAUAUUGCAAUACGUGGUUCGACUUUUAAUAAAGUCGGGAGGAAGCCUAUGCGCUUUUCCUCGUAGUCUUGAUGUCUUGGGUCGAGAUUCUCCCAUAAAGUCUUGAGAUUCCAGGCACAGGGAUCACGUCUACUUCAGGUCUACCCAUCUAAUCUAAACCUAAAGGGGCAUACAUGAUUAAACAUAUCGUCGCUGAAAUAUAGAAUUGCAUAAUUGAAAUAUGGAAAGUAAAAAAAUAAGCACGAUGAAAAAGGAAAAUAUCUUACCCACCAGACACAUGACAAGCACAAAUCACAUGUCGUAUGAAACUGUGAGGUUUUAACGCCUAAGGUGAGGGUACUAAAAGCUCAAGGUCUUCAUCCCAAAGGAUAAAAAUAGUUUACCCACCGCUACUAUCGUCGGUCAGUGCUAUUUUUAUCGGUUGGGAUGAGCGGGUUUAUGUAAGUAAUGGAUUACCACGAGCAUCCACUCGCAUAUUCCACCCAUAAACCCUCCUAAGGUCCUAGAUUGGGUGAUCGGGGUUUUAGACCGCGGUUGUGUGUGCGGUGUCAUGCUAAAGUUGGUAAACAUGCAUUUAAAUUUAAACAUCCAGCACUUCAAUAUAAACCCACAUACAUUUAUUCAUCCUUACACCACCUGCAAAACAAAGGGUUUACAAGCACACCUCCCCUUAUAACUCCCACCUACAAUACCAUUUAACAUAAGGUUAGUGACUAACCUGAUUUUCCACGCGACUUUGACAUGCAGGCGAUCCUACAUAAGACAUGUUAGUUAAAACACAACAACCAUUUUUAAAUGGCUUCAAGUCCUUUAACCUAGUAACCAGUCCCCAGCGGAGCCGCCAAGCCUGUCGCGACCCGGAUCUCGCCGCCCCUCGAAAUGGUAUCCAAGGAGGGGAAAGGUCGGGUUUAGGGAUACUUAAUCUCGAGAUCACGAGCUCUCCCAAGCUCGUACCCCGCGUGACAGCGAAUUUAUUUAUAUGAUCUAGGUAUUUAACAACCUAAAAAUAUAUAGGAGUCGCCACUAGCCUCAUUUUUUGGGGGUCGGCUAGAAACCCAAUCGAGGGUCGGGAGUAUUCCCUCGAUUCCUACGCAACCAGAUAUCUAGAUUCGGAGACUUGGGUUACGCUAAUAUUGCUAUUAGCGCCCUUUCGGUACCUAAACAGUAUGUUGUGUUUUUCCUAACAUGUCCAUGCAUUUUUUUAUAUUUUCAGGAUCGUCGAUUCUAUACUAAAUGAUCAUGUGUGUUGGAUUACUUUCAUUCUAUUCUAUUUCUAAAAAAAAAAUGAAAAGAAACCAAUCAAUGAAAUUGAAAUUGCAAGACAUGAAGUAAACAAUCAAGAGAAAGCGGUAAACCUAAUCAUGCAAUUCUAAAAGAAAGUAUAAAAGAGAAAUAUAUGGGAAAAAGAGAGAAAAACCCGCAACUCGUCGGGUUUUAUACAACAAAUGGAGCCCGAGACAUAUGUCGGGAAAAUGGGUAUUACAUGAAAAUGGUCGGAAUGGACAUCGACCUCCACCAUCUUCACGCCUCUCCAUCUUCAAGGUCCUAAUCUAAACCUAAUCUAAAACACUAAUAACUAGGUGCGUACAAAUAAAAGAAACAAUCAAACACAUCAAGCAACCAUUUUCAUUUCUAAAGAAGUACAAUGUGAAAAUCAAGUUUCGAGUGAUAUCCUAAAGUUCAACAUUGAUAUGUGUCGCACCAAAAUCGUUCGUCAAAUGAUCACAUGCAAAGCAUAUAAUAUGACAGGCAUCCAAGCCAUAUAACAUUGGUCCUCAGUUAAUCAAACAAAUGAAUUAGCUGACAAAAGAUCAUUCACCAAACAAUAUGCAUCAUUGAACAUGUUCAUGCUACAUGUAUAUCCAUCUAAUAAAUGCUUAAUCCAUAACUUCCAGCAUGCAAUCAGAAUUGUAACAGAGCACAUGAGACUAUAAAUUGUGAUUGUUUGAUGACAAAUCACCAUGAAAUUGAAGCCAUAUCUUAUCACAAGCACGUAUGAGUCUUUUUGAUCAAAAUGGCAUCAAUUCAUAACCAAACUAACCGCAAGUUAAAAUCAAAUGCACACCCAAUCAUGGUAGCAACUUUCAUGGAAAAAGUUUUUUAACGUGAGCUACAUAGAAGUUAAAGAAAAUUCAAGAAUGCACAAUAUUAUGUCGAAAUUGCAGCAAAAUAUCGGGAUGUCGUGACACAUUAAUGGUGAUUUGACCUAAAAAGAAAAUCUGAAGAAUAUGAAAUUUUACCACAGCGCGAACAAAAGAGAGGCAAACAACUUUUGUUAAGGAUCCAAUCUUAGAAUUCCUUAACAAGAAAAUCACAGAAAAAAUGAUGAGGUCAGCUUUGACAAGGAAAAACGGGGGUUAUGAAUUUCAUUUUUAUGACAGAUUUCUAUCAUGCGAAUCACAAGAAAAGUUGAGUUCAAUUGAUAUGCAAAUCAUGUGAAAUCAGCAUCAUAAGAACAAAUUUCACGAGGAAGCCUCUCAAAAUUUUUAACACGUGAGUUUCUAAAAGUUCAAGAACAUGAACAAGUCAAUCAAGAAUAGAACAUAGUAGCAUGUCACACCAUCAUUCUACAACAUAUUGACAGCAAUUGGACAAAUCUAUUAUCUCAUCUUAAGACUAACAGCAACUAGCCACAGAAAAGACAGCAUUUCUAUAAUCGAAUCAACUUCAAAAAUCAAAGACAACAUUUCAUUAUAUAUUGUAACUAAAAGCACGUGAAUUUACAAAAUCCUAGAAGAGAUCAUUUUUUAUGUAGAUGAUGGAAGUGUGGAUCGUUAGGUAAAUCAUUUUUAUCAAUGGUUGCCAUCUAAGGGAACAUCUGCAAAAGUGUCUUCAUCUUAUAGAUAUUCCUGUAUAACUGUGGCAGUUUUUUUUUAACCAUCUGGAGCGUAUAUUCCUGUAUAACUGUGGCAGUUUUUUUUUAACCAUCUGGAGCGUAUAUCUUUUGGCCGAAUGGUACAUACCCUAUUGAGUAUGACAGGAAUGCACAUUUUCUUCCAGAAUAUUUCACUCAGGACAGCUCAUGACUGAUGACAGUUUAUAAUUGUAAGUCCUUACAAUAUCUAGGUUCCUUUGACUAUUUUGAGGGGGACCACUGCUGGAUGAAGUACAUCAAAGGAUCAAUUCAUGGACAUAGCAGGCGGUUUGUCAUGCACUCAGUUUUCUCGCCAGAUUGCUAAAAUGCAUUCAUGACACUGCAUCACUAUUAGAUUGUUUCAUCAUGUUCCUAAUGUUAACUAAGCUUUUAGAGGUUUGAGGCCAUUAAUGGCGACCAUAAUGAAGUAUUUGUAUUGACAACUGCAAUUGUGGAAACUCACACAUGAAUCAACAGAGUAGUAUCUAACAUUAUCUCAUAUCGAACCACAAUGAUGUCCAACUGAUGAUGGGAUUGAGGAAACAAGCAGCACAUAGGAUUAUUGUGUAUUUACCUAGCUCGUGACACUAGACAGGAGAUAAGACCCGAGAAAUCGUCCAGAGAGCGAGCCUCCGAUCGAGAGAGUUACUAAUCUCCGGGAGCGAUCCUCAACCAGUCGGAACAAAGAGAAUCUCCGAUCCUGAUGAAGCUAGAUCCGGGCGAGAGCGAUCGAGUGUCUGUAAGAAAAAGAGAAUUAGAGCAGGAAAGAGAAUUCCCGAGCGAAAGAGUCAGCUUGAGUCCCAGAGAGCGUGUGAGAUCUGGAGAACGUCCUUGAGAGAGAGAAACCGUUCGGCCGUUUUUCCUCCGAGAGAGAAUCUGAGCCGAGAGCAUUCGUCCGUUCCGUCACAGUCGCGGCUGCACUGACCGAUAUAGGAAAUUUAGCUGCGGCCAAUGACGGCUUCAAGCUCUUCAUCUUCGAAGCCAUAAACAUCACCGGCGAUUUCUUCUCAUUCUCCAUCUUCUUCGACUCUAUCUAUCCAGAAGCACAAACCUCCGAGCGGCAGAACUCCCGACGGAAGAAACAAAAACCGAUCGCGAGUGGAGAUCAACUUCGGAUCUCAGUACCGGAGGCAACAGGCCAAAGCCGAUCGCGAGUGGAGAUCAACUUCGGAUCUCAGUACCGGAGGCAACAGGCCAAAGCAAUGGUGGAGACGAAGGAUGCGACGGUUGGUGACCGGAUUGCGGUACCGGCGGUGCACGAAU